rnacentral:tRNA from 1 species
GCGGGAAUAGCUCAGUUGGCUAGAGCGACUGCUUGCCAUGCAGUAGGUCGCGAGUUCGAGUCUCGUUUCCCGCU